CUUCUUCCACGCCACGCGUCCCCACGGCGACGGAAAUCCCACUUGCCUCGCCUCGCCGCCGUAACAAACAAAUCUUUCCUCUUUUCUUCUUCCUCCUGCUCCCGGUCUGCCCGCCGCUAACCCCUACGAGCAAGCAAUCCCGCCAGCCCCAAAGACACACCACCCCCCCAGGCCUCCAGAUCGGAGCUGGCGAGUCCCGGAACCUACCACACCUGCUGUCCCGAGUGAGGCGGCCGGGCUGGGGGUUGGUCGCUUCCUGGCUGGCCACCACCCACGACCAGUUCUUGAUCCCGGACUGCUUCAAGCGGGCCGGGUCUGGUCGUUUCUUGGGUUGAACUGAUUGGUUGCUGCUGACUUGGUUGAUCUCCUCUUCUUCCAUUGCUGCUUCGUCGUGUCGGCUGGCCAUUGCAGACAAGGUGUUUGUUUGGCGGCAGCGGGCGCUGCUGAGCUAGGUUGCUCGCUGGCUUCUUCAUUGGUGCUCGGAGGUAAGCCAGGUAGGUAGAUCUGCUCGGACGCACGGCCAUUCGACAGUUGCUGUAUCAAAGCUAGAUAGACAGGCAGAUCUUGAGAGACGCCGUUCAGUGUUCUGCCGCUCGGGCGGACCUUGUUGAUUCGUAGCUCUCAAGCUUUACCAUGUUGAGAAAUCCCUGCUGAGUGUGGAUAAACUUCACAUAGGAGGUUUCUGAGGCUGAACCAAUCGCUUUUGACUUGUGAGGGCUGAGGAUCAGUAAUUAAUCAAAUCAUGUGGAGACCGUUCAGGCAGCUCAUGCCCAAAGAGCAUUCCGGGCCUUCUGGCGGCCUCGAGGGCCGAACCAUCGAUGUCGGCAAUGUGAAGGUGCACGUCCGGGAAGCCAUUGCCGAGGGUGGGUUCUCGUGCGUGUACCUCGCCCGGGACCUGACCAACCCGGCGAAGCAGUACGCGCUCAAGCACGUCAUUGUCCAGGACAAGGAGUUGCUGGACCUGGUGCAGAAGGAGAUCACGGUGAUGAGGGCGCUUAAGGGGCACCCGAACGUGGUCACGCUUGUUGCGCACGCCAUACUGGAUACGGGCCGUGGGAGGGAGGCACUUCUGCUGAUGGAGUUCUGCGAGAGAUCGCUGGUUUCUGCCUUGGACGCUAGAGGUACUGCAGGGUUCUAUGAUGAGGAGCAGGUUGCUCUCAUCUUCCGGGAUGUUUGCAAUGCGGUCUUCGCGAUGCACUGCCAGACACCACCUGUUGCUCACAGGGAUCUAAAGGCUGAAAAUGUGCUUCUUGGUGCUGACGGGGCUUGGAAAUUAUGUGAUUUUGGUAGUGUAUCAACAAACCAUAAGUGCUUUGAUAAACCAGAGGAGAGGGGCAUUGAAGAAGAUGUCAUCAGAAAGCAUACAACUCCUGCUUACAGGGCUCCUGAGAUGUGGGACUUGUACAGGAGGGAGGUUAUUAGUGAGAAAGUAGAUAUAUGGGCUCUUGGAUGUCUCAUGUAUAGAAUCUGCUACUUAAAAUCAGCUUUUGAUGGAGAAUCAAAGCUUCAGAUCCUCAAUGGGAACUAUCGUAUCCCUGAAUUACCGAAGUACUGUUCUUCCAUUACAAGUCUGAUCGAAGAGAUGCUUCAGUCCUCUCCAGAUGCCAGACCAGACAUUACACAGGUAUGGUUUCGUGUUAAUGAGUUACUUCCUUUGGAGCUGCAAAAGGAUUUACCUGAUGGAUCCCCAUCUGGAUCAGCGUUUGAACUGCAAACUACUGAAGAUGAAGGACCCUCUUCAUCAUGGUCAAGAGACAAUGUGAGAAAUACACCUCCGAAAGGUCCUUCCAGUUUGAGGUCACAAGUUCCUGUUGAGAGUAAGGGUUCUGUAGGUGCAUUUUGGUCAACUCAACAUGCACAAGAACUAGCUUUUGCAGAUGACAAGGGGUCAGUUCUAGAUCAAGAGCCCAUAUAUGAUGGCAUAACAAAGCAACCUCAGGCAAAGAACCAGAACACGACACGGAAUGCAUACAGACAGUCUCUUUCUGCUUCUGUUGAUAGUUCUCCUGGGGAUUUUGAAAUAAGGUUUUCUCCAAAUGGUUCAGAAUAUGGACUAGAGAAAACCCAAAACACUAAACCAGAUAACAAAACCAGUGCACAGACUGCCACUUUUAGCUCCUUUGUGGCAGACUUUGAUAAUGUUAAGGUGAGCUCAGAGGACAAUGCCGGCAGUUUAAACACGACAAGUAAAUUGAAAGAACAACAGCUGGAGGCUGAAGUAACUUUACUCAAGGAGCAAUUGAAGAUAGCAAACUUGGAGAAGGAAGAAAUUUCACUGAAGUUUGAUAGAUUGUCAGCCAUUUGCUCCUCUCAGAGGCGGGAGAUACAGGAACUUAAACAAGCUCUAGCCACAGCUUCUGCACCAGCGCCAGUUAAGGAGUUGAAAGAAAAUUUGAAGGCUGAAUUCUCCCCACCCAGCACAAGCCUUGACACUCCGCCAAGGGAGAAGAUUGCAGGAACCCCACCAGAGCUCCGGCAAGGUCUAUUUACAUCAAGUCCAGGGACACCAAGCCCGGAUCCCAAGCCAUGGUCCGCUUUUCCUGAAGAGCCGAAAGCUCAAGCAGCUGUAAAAAGUGCCCGCCCGAGGUCGGUCCGAACUCUAAGGGCAUCGCAAAGCAACAAAGCCGGCUCGCUUAGUCAGUCAAAAACAAACUCUGGUGCCGACCCCUUUGCCUUCGGUCAAGAUAGCUUUAAGGCUGUACCUUCUGGCACCGUGCCUUCUGAGAUGUCAAAUUUGGGGAAUGCUUCUCAGUCCCUCAACACUCUGAAGGCUGAAGUGGAGAAAGAUGCACCCUACCAACCAGCUGGAUGGACUGGGUUUUAAUGUGCUAUCGCUAAUAAGGAUAUUUGGUAUCUGAUGAGACUAUACUCCUAUAGAAUUACGGAAAUAUGGUCCAUCCACUGUAUCAUAAUCAUAUAAAUUGUGUGGUGUUGAGAGGGAGCAAAAUGAGCCCAACCUAGGAGUGCCAGAAUUGACGUUUCCUUGCACUGAUGGUGUAACCUCAUCCUGCAAGCACAAAAAAUCAUACGCAGAAAAAGGGGGAUGAAGAACAGUUUUGUAUGCAAAUCAGAGAAUGUUUUGUGGUUUUAACCAGGAGGCUCGUAUGAUUAGACAAAGUGCUUACUGUCCACAGAUCAUGAGCAUCUACAACAGCUGAUUGGUUUAGACCAAUGUUGCUCCAACUAGCAGUAAUAGAUGCUUCAUCAGGCCCUCUGUUCCACAGCACAAGAGCAACUCUCCCUCGACUUAAGCGACCAGCCCAAACCUAAGCCCAAGUAAAUCAAGUAUAGAUGAAUUAUACUAAGUGUCGAACAUAACAUGGGGUCAUUGAGCUGACAUCGCAGCCAAGUAUCAGAGGAGCCUAGUUGAAUCCAAAUCAACAACAUAAUCUUGUGAAAAUUCUUGCCUAACAAUGCUGUUCUGUUGGUUUACUUCUUUUUUUAUCUCUCAUGCAAUGAAAGUCACUUAUCAUUACCUUGACUAGAGCCCAUAUGCUGAAAUGAGAACGGUACUCUUCUAUUGUCAUCCCCCCGUUUCCUACUUCCAGCAUGUCUGGGUCUGAAGCAGAAACAUUCAAAGAGAUCACUGUGAAUUGUCAUCACAAGCAUAAUUUUUUUUUUGUUGGGAACAAACCCCAGAUCCUACAUCCGUCUUCCUACACACUUGCAUGAUCAAAUUUUAUCAUAGGCCUACAGAGACUAACCAUUCCAUCCACCAGGCCCUGCAUAAGGUGCCCACUUGUCGUUCUUGUCAGCGUUGUCCGUCAUGCUGCACAAUUUGCCGUGGUAUUCAGGAUAGGAAUUAGAAUCUCCAUCUAAACUUUGCAGAAGUUUGGAAGGGGCAGUAAAAGUUCUCCAGGAUGUAAACUUCUUCACCUUUCCCAUGUGUUCUUGAUGUCUUCUGUUGUCCUCCAGCUGUUUGCAAAGCUGCCUGCCCAUGUCGCUGGAUCAUCCACACCCCUGCACAUCAUUGUUGUUUUUUCUCAAACAGAUGAAUGAAAUUCGAACCCUCCCUUUUGGUCAGUUGAAAAGCAAGAAUCAGUUACCAUUCGCAAAGGGAGAAGAAAACGUCCCUUCCAGAAUUCAUAAGGGCUUCACUCAUCCUGUUAUAUCUGCAUUUUUGUUGUGAAUAUGUCAAAAAUAUUUGAAUUCGGAUAAAAUGUGACAAGCUUCUAAGUUCUGUAAUUGUAAAGGUUACCUUGUUAGUGGGCUGAUGUUCUGGUUGUUGCAGUUGUCAUACUUCAAGUAGUCAAUCCCCUUGUAACACAACAAUUUAGAAAAAUCAGUUUUUCUCCUCCUUUGGAACCCCUACCCUACGAGGAAAACCAGUUUUGACAUGUGUAAGUUUUAGAUGAUCUAAUGAACAUUUUAAUUGGUUUACCCAAGCUGCCAAAGUUCUCGCAUCUUGGUCUUCGUAUCCUAGCGAACCGGGCUGCAGCCUGCUGCAAGUUCGCAGUCUGAAAAGAGAGAGUGGUGUGAUUUAAGCAAGGGAGAGGUCCAUGUGGACUGGGGUACUGGUCACGUCUCACGUGUUCCCAGUCUUAUCAGAAACAUUUUGACUGGCUAAUUUUUUGCGAGUUCUCUAUAAAGCGCAUACCCUGCAUCGCCGUAGACUCCGAGUUUGAGCCCUUUCCCAUGCACAUAAUCUGCUAAGGCCCUCAUUCCUGAUGGAAAUGUUGUUCCAUUUGCAGCUAGAUUGCCCUGUAAAAUAACAGUCGUUCUUUUUAACGACUGAACGAAACCUAUGAAAAUACGUCGUUCUAACAUUGCAGCUGAAAAGCUUAUGCUGGUUUCACAUGAUUGAGGAUCAAUAAUGGAUUUUAAAAUUUGUUUUGUUCUUUCUAUCUACACACAUAUCAUCUCUUCUAUUAACAUGUACUACUAGUCACCUGGGAGUCUCUGUCAUGAGAUGCCCAACAGUCGUCUGCAGUUUCAAAACAAACAUAUCCACUGUGAAUAUUGCAGGCCUCAUUUCCAAACAUGAAGAGUUGAAAAGGGCGAAAACCAAAGAGAGCGAGAAACGCGAAGCGAUUACCUAAGUUGACAUACUCAUACCCCAGUUUCGCAAGACCAGUAUCCACCAUGGCAUCAGCUGCACAAACACAAGCCGAAGUGGUUCCAGCUAUUCCACCUGAAUACACCGUGCUGUCAGUUCAGCAAGACUUGAUUGUUGGAAAUAUUUCAUGGAGAAGCAGAUAGAAACCAGUUCUCCCUGUUCGGUUUAGAAGGGCUUGAAGAGGAUCCGGGCCUUCUUUGGUUCAUAGGGUUGGAAUAUAAUAGGAAUGUGAAACUUGUAGAAAUUGAGAUGUCGUGUAUUUUAAAUCCUAUAUGAAUAGGAAUAGGAAGAUAGAUGUCUGUUGGUUCACAUCAUAGGAUUUGUUUUCAUUGAGUCUAGGGUAAUGUUUAUUUUCCUGAGAUGUGCAGGAUGGUAACAAUUCCUCCGUAGAAAUAUGAUUCUAUUCUUACAAACCAAAGGACUAUAAAAGAUUUUUUUUCCUUUUGAAAA